CCUACGGGUGGCAGCAGUGAGGAAUAUUGGUCAAUGGACGAGAGUCUGAACCAGCCAAGUAGCGUGAAGGAUGACUGCCCUAUGGGUUGUAAACUUCUUUUAUAAAGGAAUAAAACGAGGCACGUGUGCCUUUUUGCGUGUACUUUAUGAAUAAGGAUCGGCUAACUCCGUGCCAGCAGCCGCGGUAAUACGGAGGAUCCGAGCGUUAUCCGGAUUUAUUGGGUUUAAAGGGAGCGUAGACGGGUUGUUAAGUCAGUUGGGAAAGUUUGCGGCUCAACCGUAAAAUUGCAGUGGAUACUGGCAGUCUUGAGUACAGGUGAGGUAGGCGGAAUUCGUGGUGUAGCGGUGAAAUGCUUAGAUAUCACGAAGAACCCCGAUUGCGAAGGCAGCUUACUAAAGUGUGACUGACAUUGAUGCUCGAAAGUGUGGGUAUCAAACAGGAUUAGAUACCCGAGUAGUC
rnacentral:rRNA from 1 species